rnacentral:rRNA from 1 species
GAUGAACGCUAGCGGCAGGCCUAACACAUGCAAGUCGAGGGGUAGCAGGAUUAAGCUUGCUUAAUUGCUGACGACCGGCGCACGGGUGCGUAACGCGUAUGCAACCUACCUUAUACUGGGGUAUAACCCGGAGAAAUUCGGAUUAAUCCCCCAUAGUACUAAUGAAUCGCAUGGUUUAUUAGUUAAAGCAUUGCGGUAUAAGAUGGACAUGCGUCCUAUUAGCUAGAUGGUGAGGUAAUGGCUCACCAAGGCCGCGAUCCGUAGCUGGUUUGAGAGGACGACCAGCCACACUGGAACUGAGACACGGUCCAGACUCCUACGGGAGGCAGCAGUGGGGAAUUUUGGACAAUGGACGCAAGUCUGAUUCAGCCAUUCCGCGUGCAGGAUGAAGGCCCUCGGGUUGUAAACUGCUUUUGUACGGAACGAAAAGGUCUCUCUUAAUACGGGGGGCUCAUGACGGUACCGUAAGAAUAAGCACCGGCUAACUACGUGCCAGCCGCCGCAGUAA